AACGCACCUUGCGCUCCUUGGUAUUCCGAGGAGCAUGCCUGUUUGAGUGUCAUUAAAUUCUCAACCUCACCUGGUUUCUGACUAGUGUGAAGGCUUGGACUUGGGAGUUUUGCAGGUUACAGUUAUCUGUGGUCUGCUCUCCUUAAAUGAAUUAGCGGGUCUUAUUCCCUCUAUCCCAACGGUGUGAUAAUCUAUCUACGCUGCUGGUUUGGAGGCCCUUCUGGGGGACCAGCUUCUAACCGUCCGCGAGGACAAUAUGACCAUUCUUGACCUCAAAUCAGGUAGGACUACCCGCUGAACUUAA
rnacentral:misc_RNA from 1 species